rnacentral:rRNA from 1 species
AUGUUGUGUCAGUGUCUCAAACAAACAAGGAGAGCGACAGCGAGGCUGGGAUGGAAACAUUGUGGAAUAAUUCCUGUUUUGCUGAUUUUAUUUUUCUCGCUAAAAUCAGAUAAUCGGAGAUUAUUUCCAGAUUCAAGGUUAAGAUCGAUGUUAAAAACAUUUUUGGUUUUCUUAGGCACCUAUUUUUAUGCGAAAACAACUUCUUGUCUUGAAUUUUUUUUUUGUAUUAAAAGAUUGCUGAGAAGAUGCAAAGGAAAGAAAAACGAGUCAAAAGCAGAAACCAGAGCAAACCUCAACUAG